rnacentral:lncRNA from 1 species
GGCACUAUAAAAGCACCGCACUAAGAUAGCUUCUUCACUUCGCUACCGGCCUUCUGCACAAGUAGAGCCUACUCGAUACUGAAGGUGCGUACGGCAAGCCACACAAUAAGGAAAAUGAAGUUUUCAAUUGUUCUACUUAUAUCAGUCAUGCAAGCUGUACUUGUUGCAUGCAACCACGGUACGCAGCAAUGUCCAGCAAGGGUCGGUGAAAAUGGACAGUGCCUCAUUUUCGGCUUGACAGUGCCUCGUGGUCAAACUGUGAGUUCUGGUACCCCCUGUGUUAAAGUGGAAUGCAGGAAUAAUGGCGAUAUGCUGGUAUCAGGGUGCCGUACCACCGCUGGGAAUGACCAACAUGCCCCUGGAGCACCGAGAGGAAGGCCCGUCCAGCCAUAUCCAGGCUGCUGUACAAGCUGUGGCCCGAUUGCUCAAGGCUAGUAAAAAAAAUGCCCAUGGUGCUUCAAAGUAGAUGCUAGAUGCUUCGGCGUAUCCUAUUUGAUUGUUCUGUGUAGCAGGCGAAACAUGAAGCCAUGAAUUUGUAAUAUUUGUUACUUGGAAGAUUUUUACCUUUCUUUAUUUCAAUAAAAUUUAUUCGUUGUAUCGAG